ACACCUCAACUCUUCAUGGUUUUCUGUGAUGAGCUUGGACUUUGGGGGUUUUGCUGGCCUAUGGUCGGCUCCUCUAAAAUGAAUCAGCUUGCCAGUGUUUGGUGGGCAUCACAGGUGUGAUAACUAUCUACGCUUGUGGUUUUCCCACCAGGUAACCUUCAGAGGUUCGCUGGAGCUCACAGAUGUCUCUCCUCAGGAGGACAACCCUUUGAAU
rnacentral:misc_RNA from 1 species